UACGGAGGGUGCAAGCGUUAAUCGGAAUUACUGGGCGUAAAGCGUGCGUAGGCGGUUGCCUAAGUCAGAUGUGAAAGCCCCGGGCUUAACCUGGGAACUGCAUUUGAAACUGGGUGACUAGAGUUUGGUAGAGGAAGGUAGAAUUCCUAGUGUAGCGGUGAAAUGCGUAGAUAUUAGGAGGAAUACCAGUGGCGAAGGCGGCCUUCUGGACCAAAACUGACGCUGAGGUACGAAAGCGUGGGGAGCAAACAGG
rnacentral:rRNA from 1 species